rnacentral:rRNA from 1 species
UACAGAGACUGCAAGCGUUACUCGGAUUCACUGGGCGUAAAGGGCGCGCAGGCGGACUCGUGUGUCGGAUGUGAAACCCGGGGGCUCAACUCCCGGACUGCGUCUGAAACUGCGAUUCUAGGGACUCGGAGGGGCCGGUGGAAUUCUUGGUGGAGCAGUGAAAUGCGUAGAUAUCAAGAGGAACACCAACGGCGAAGGCAGCCGGCUGGACGAGAUCCGACGCUCAGGCUCGAAAGUAUGGGGAGCAAAAAGG